rnacentral:misc_RNA from 1 species
AACAUCGCGCACCUGCGGGAACCUGCGGAAGGAUCAUUACAAGUGACCCCGGUCUAACCACCGGGAUGUUCAUAACCCUUUGUUGUCCGACUCUGUUGCCUCCGGGGCGACCCUGCCUUCGGGCGGGGGCUCCGGGUGGACACUUCAAACUCUUGCGUAACUUUGCAGUCUGAGUAAACUUAAUUAAUAAAUUAAAACUUUUAGCAAUGGAUCU